GGGUUAGAUGCCGUUGGGUUUCCCACGUGUCCCUCUCAGGCCCCUGCACAAGCUUCUGACACCUGUGCCUUCAGAGGUGACACAGAGGCCUCUGCUCUGUUGGGAUCAAAUCAUGGCCUCCAGGGUAGCUGAGACAGAGAACUAAGCCAUCACUAGCAUCCAGGAUCAGCACACAUGGUCAGCCCCGGAAAGCCUCUUCUUGGACCAGCAACCUAAACCUGAAGGAACAGAGAUGAAAACAAAAGGUUCCAGGUCAUCCCCAGCUGGCUUCCCCCAUCAGGUGCUGAAUUGGAUUUCUGCAGUCUUAGGGGAAUUUCUGCUGUUGCAAGAAGACAGUCUGUGACCCUUAAUCUACCAGCUGAGCAGAAAACCACAGGCAAAUUACCGUGGUGUGCUGCUCACAGUGAAAGCCACACAACGCAAUGGCCAUGAGGCGGUGUAACUGUGAGCUGCUGGCAGAAAAGACCGGCUCAGGGCACAAUCAUCUGUAAUAGAACCAGUGUUACACAGUUUAAAGCUCUGAGAAAUAAGUGCCGUUUUUAGGGCUCAGUAUGAUGAACUGCUGGCCCUCCAUGUGCCCAGUGCCUUAAAUGGAUCCAAAUGACCACAGAUACUGUCCUGACACUGCCAUCUGUCAGCUUUUCCCAUCUCCUCGAUCCCCACCACAUCCAGGCCACCAUCACCUCCAGUCUGGAAAGCUUCACCCACAGUCCACUCCACCAACAACCAGAGCGUUCAUUUUUCUUUGUGAUUAAAUAUACACAGCA
rnacentral:lncRNA from 1 species